UACAGAGGGUGCAAGCGUUGUUCGGAAUUAUUGGGCGUAAAGGGCGCGUAGGCGGUUCGGCAAGUCUCUAGUGAAAUCUCUGGGCUCAACUCAGAGUCUGCUGGGGAAACUGCCGGGCUUGAGUGUGGGAGAGGAGAGUGGAAUUCCCGGUGUAGCGGUGAAAUGCGUAGAGAUCAGGAGGAACACCUGUGGUGUAGACGCUUACUGGACGAAUAAC
rnacentral:rRNA from 1 species